rnacentral:rRNA from 1 species
UCAAGGGCAUUGCCCCAGUAACGGCGAGUGAAGCGGCAACAGCUCAAAUUUGAAAUCUGGCCCCAGGCCCGAGUUGUAAUUUGUAGAGGAUGUUUCUGACGAGGUACCUUCCGAGUUCCCUGGAACGGGACGCCAUAGAGGGUGAGAGCCCCGUACGGUUGGUCGCCAAGUCUCUGUGAAACUCCUUCGACGAGUCGAGUAGUUUGGGAAUGCUGCUCAAAAUGGGAGGUAUACGUCUUCUAAAGCUAAAUAUAGGCCAGAGACCGAUAGCGCACAAGUAGAGUGAUCGAAAGAUGAAAAGCACUUUGAAAAGAGGGUUAAAUAGUACGUGAAAUUGUUGAAAGGGAAGCGCACAUGACCAGACUUGGCCAGGUUGAUCAUCCAUCGUUCUCGGUGGUGCACUCUGCCUGGCCAGGCCAGCAUCAGUUCGCCUUGGGGGAUAAAGGUUUCGGGAAUGUGGCUCCUCCGGGAGUGUUAUAGCCCGUUGCGCAAUACCCUGGGGUGGACUGAGGUUCGCGCAUCUGCAAGGAUGCUGGCGUAAUGGUCAUCUGCGACCCGUCUUGAAACACGGACCAAGGAGUCGUCUUCGUAUGCGAGUGUUCGGGUGUCAAACCCCUACGCGUAAUGAAAGUGAACGUAGGAGAGAGCUUCGGCGCAUCUCCGACCGAUCCUGAUGUUCUCGGAUGGAUUUGAGUAAGAGCAUACGGGGCCGGACCCGAAAGAAGGUGAACUAUGCCUGUAUAGGGUGAAGCCAGAGGAAACUCUGGUGGAGGCUCGCAGCGGUUCUGACGUGCAAAUCGAUCGUCAAAUAUGGGCAUGGGGGCGAAAGACUAAUCGAACCUUCUAGUAGCUGGUUUCCGCCGAAGUUUCCCUCAGGAUAGCAGUGUUGAACUCAGUUUUAUGAGGUAAAGCGAAUGAUUAGGGAAUCGGGGGCGCUUUUUAGCCUUCAUCCAUUCUCAAACUUUAAAUAUGUAAGAAGCCCUUGUUGCUUAAUUGAACGUGGGCAUUCGAAUGUAUCAACACUAGUGGGCCAUUUUUGGUAAGCAGAACUGGCGAUGCGGGAUGAACCGAACGCGAGGUUAAGGUGCCAGAGUAGUCGCUCAUCAGACACCACAAAAGGUGUUAGUACAUCUUGACAGCAGGACGGUGGCCAUGGAAGUCGGAAUCCGCUAAGGACUGUGUAACAACUCACCUGCCGAAUGUACUAGCCCUGAAAAUGGAUGGCGCUCAAGCGACUCACCCAUACCUCGCCCUCAGGGUAGAAACGAUGCCCUGAGGAGUAGGCGGACGUGGAG